rnacentral:rRNA from 1 species
AUCNAAUACUGGACAAAGUCGNAGACGGGACCGACGGGAGCUUGCUCCCUUAGGUCAGCGGCGGACGGGUGAGUAACACGUGGGUAACCUGCCUGUAAGACUGGGAUAACUCCGGGAAACCGGGGCUAAUACCGGAUGCUUGAUUGAACCGCAUGGUUCAAUCAUAAAAGGUGGCUUUUAGCUACCACUUACAGAUGGACCCGCGGCGCAUUAGCUAGUUGGUGAGGUAACGGCUCACCAAGGCGACGAUGCGUAGCCGACCUGAGAGGGUGAUCGGCCACACUGGGACUGAGACACGGCCCAGACUCCUACGGGAGGCAGCAGUAGGGAAUCUUCCGCAAUGGACGAAAGUCUGACGGAGCAACGCCGCGUGAGUGAUGAAGGUUUUCGGAUCGUAAAACUCUGUUGUUAGGGAAGAACAAGUACCGUUCGAAUAGGGCGGCACCUUGACGGUACCUAACCAGAAAGCCACGGCUAACUACAUGCCAGCAGCCGCGGUAAUACGUAGGUGGCCAGCGUUGUCCGGAAUUAUUGGGCGUAAAGCGCGCGCAGGCGGUUUCUUAAGUCUGAUGUGAANGCCCCCGGCUCAACCGGGGAGGGUNUUUGGAAACUGGGGUACUUGAGUGCAGAAGAAUGAGAGUGUAAUUCCCACGUGUACCGUGUGAAGUGGCUAAAGAUGNNUGAGGA